GGAGUCUGGGCCGUGUCUCAGUCCCAAUGUGGCCGAUCACUCUCUCAAGUCGGCUACUGAUCGUUGCUUUGGUAGGCCGUUACCCUGCCAACUAGCUAAUCAGACGCGGGUCCAUCUCACACCACCGGAGUUUUUCACACCGUACCAUGCGAUACUGUGCGCUUAUGCGGUAUUAACAGUCGUUUCCAACUGUUAUCCCCCUGUGUGAGGCAGGUUACCCACGCGUUACUCACCCGUCCGCCACUAAGUAUUCCAAUUGAUUCUUCAGAAGCAAGCUUCCUCGGUCUCGGGAGGAAUACUCCGUUCGACUUGCAUGUGUUAAGCACGCCGCCAGCGUUUAUC
rnacentral:rRNA from 1 species